UCGGCGCCUCCCACGCACAGGAUAUUUCUGUGGAAAAAAAAGCUUUUGCGUGCCUGCCCUGUCCUAUCCUCUCCCCUCUGCACCGCGUUCUUCGGCCCGCCUCGCCUCAUUACCGGCCGCCAGCCAUAUCUCACCGGCCGCCGUCCUCUCCCCAUCCAAGGAUCGUGCCUGAUCCGCUCUCCCCGUCGCGUGUGCUGCUCCGCCGCUUUCUAAACCUCUUCGUCCCAGACAUCAUCUCAGACGAUCUGACCGACGAGUUGCGAGACGAGGUUGCUCUCGCCUCCCUCCGUUCCCGACAUCUCACUCCACUCGCCGACCAUGCCGCAUCCGCCGUCUAUGUUGCGUCCGCCGUCCUCUAGGUAGAUGGGGAUAAAGCUCCUCUCCGACGAUGGUACUGCACCCAUGUCCGCCUCAAUCGCUGGAAACGAACUGGCCCCAAACUACUUCCUUCAUCCCUGAUCCCGUCCAUCACUUCCAUCAUGAUAUAGAAAAGCAGCACUUCGUGUUUUUUGAUUCUACAGGAUCGUCUUGCCUCUGGAUCCAGUUCUUCUUCAGCCAUGUCUUUCUCUGUACAUAUUUUUGUAAUACAUGGUGGGAAUUUGGUGCUCUGUAUGACUAUUUAUGUACCCAGCAGCUGAGGCUGUACAAGUACCUCAAGGACAUUAUCUCCUGGCCGAGCAUCAGGCGAUGCGACAACCAUCAUUGUCAAGCAGACAUGUAGCGGCAAUUCACACUAAUCCCCCAGAAUAACUACUGCCAGGAGAAUGCCCUUAAUUAUUAGAGUUAGCUAUGUGGGACAUGUUCAGAGUGAUCAACUAGAGCUUUGAUAACACGACCAUGUGUCAGCAGAAUGUUGAUGUGUCGUUACAAAAUCAACACUUAAAUACAAGGAACAUCACAGAAAAAUACUUGGCAGUUUAUCUUCAUGUUGCAUAGGCCAGGAAAAGGCUCUCAUUUGGGCUGCUGCUCCCGGACAGAUUUUUUCCAUCUAGCCAGGACCGAUGCAUGUGUCUGCUAGCCACGGAUUGGAAAAAAUAUUGCCUGUUGGCAAAUAGUAUGCAGCCGCCAAAAGGACUAUUGGUGCAGCAUGACUUAAGAGAUACAAUUAGGGAUUUGCAAGAAGUGGAAAAUGGUUGAAGUAAACUCAAUACUUGAAGUCACUCUUACUCCAACGUCAUUCUUUUUUUCUUAUCUUUUUGGGCUUGAUGCCCAUGUUAAGUUUCCUUCCUUUUGAUACAGUAUGUAGUUUAACCUGUCGCUUGGUUCGCAUAGAAUGAUCACAUGUUUUUUUUUUUUUUGAACAAGAAUGAUCACAUGUUAAGGGAGAUGAAUGAAUUCAAUCUCAGAAUGUGGAAACAUAUUUCAAAGCGACCUAGCUGUGACUGGCAUCACCAACCAGAUGAGAAGGUUAAGCCGUGCGCCUAGGCAAAUGGUAGACUUGAUAUCUUGGUGCUUGCCUAACAACGCUAAAAGGCACAACCAGUGGAAAUGGCUCUAUGGGGGGCUGGUUUGGCAAUGGGAAAGGUUGGCACAUGUGCUUCCACCCUGAUUGGGGGAGGGUCAGAAUGCGCACGGUCUUAUGUGAGCUAAGAUGCUUUAGGUCCAUCCCCUCUUCACUUCGUACAAUAAACCUAAAACACGUCCAAGAUACAGAGGAUGGUAGACAAUCCUUUUCGAAUUUAUCCAUGUGUGCAGGGAUUCCUUGGCAGCUACCAGUUUGUGGGACCAUUCAGAGUAAGCAUAUGCAGAUCGGCAAUGUCGCCUCUCGGCUUUGCACUUGGGAGGAUGGUGAAGGAAGCCAUUGGUGUGAAGCGCCAACAUGCAUAACCAUGUCCAGGAGAUGUAUAUCUAGAUGAUCUGCACGUAUUUAGCACUAUGAGUUUAUCUCGAUUGCACACGGCUAACUUUUAUGAAAUUGUUGAGUUAAUUGUGAUGGUCGCCCCAUGGACACUAGCAUGGACACCAUAAUUGCAAUUGUAUGCUCAAACUUUA